rnacentral:rRNA from 1 species
UACGGGGGGGGCAAGCGUUGUUCGGAAUUACUGGGCGUAAAGGGCCAGUAGGCGGCCAACUAAGUCGGAUGUGAAAUCCCCAGGCUCAACUUGGGAACUGCAUCCGAUACUGGAUGGCUUGAAUUCGGGAGAGGGAUGCAGAAUUCCAGGUGUAGCGGUGAAAUGCGUAGAUAUCUGGAGGAAUACCGGUGGCGAAGGCGGAUCUCUGGGCCUUACCUGACGCUGAGGCGCGAAAGCUAGGGGAGCGAACAGG